rnacentral:rRNA from 1 species
ACUCAAAGGAAUUGACGGGGACCCGCACAAGCAGUGGAGUAUGUGGUUUAAUUCGACGCAACGCGAAGAACCUUACCAGGGCUUGACAUCCUACUGACGAAGUAGAGAUACAUUAGGUGCCCUUCGGGGAAAGUAGAGACAGGUGGUGCAUGGUUGUCGUCAGCUCGUGUCGUGAGAUGUUGGGUUAAGUCCCGCAACGAGCGCAACCCUUGUUGUUAGUUGCUACGCAAGAGCACUCUAACAAGACUGCCGUUGACAAAACGGAGGAAGGUGGGGACGACGUCAAAUCAUCAUGCCCCUUAUGUCCUGGGCUACACACGUACUACAAUGGUAGAGCGACAACGGGAAGCGAAGUGGCGACAUGGAGCAAAUCCCAAAAAGCUAUCUCAGUUCGGAUUGCAGGCUGCAACCCGCCUGCAUGAAGUCGGAAUUGCUAGUAAUCGCGGAUCAGCAUGCCGCGGUGAAUACGUUCCCGGGUCUUGCACACACCGCCCGU